GCUGGCGGCGUGGCUAAGACAUGCAAGUCGCACGGGACCCGCAAGGGUUCAGUGGCGAACGGGUGAGUAAUGUAUCGCUAAUGUGCCCCGGACUCUGGGAUAGCUACCCGAAAGGGCAGGUAAUACCAGAUGAUAUACCUUUGUCGCAUGGCAGAGGUCUCAAAGGUCCGCCGGUCUGGGAGCAGGCGAUAUCGUAUCAGCUAGUUGGUGAGGUAACGGCUCACCAAGGCGACGACGCGUAGCUGGUCUGAGAGGACGACCAGCCACAUCGGGACUGAGACACUGCCCGGACUCCUACGGGGGGCUGCAGUAACGAAUCUUCCACAAUGCACGAAAGUGUGAUGGAGCGACGCCGCGUGUGGGACGAAGUCCUUCGGGAUGUAAACCACUGUCAGGGGUAAGAAAGUUCUGAUCUACCCCAAAGGAAGAGACGGCUAACUCUGUGCCAGCAGCCGCGGUAAUACAGAGGUCUUGAGCGUUAGGCGGAAUCACUGGGCUUAAAGCGCGUGUAGGCGGAUCGUUAAGUGCCUUGUGAAAUCCCACGGCUUAACCGUGGAACGGCUGGGCAUACUGGCGAUCUUGAGCCACCUAGGGGCCUGCGGAACAAGCGGUGGGAGCGGUGAAAUGCGUA
rnacentral:rRNA from 1 species